GCCCGUAUGGUCUAGUGGUAUGACGUUCGCCUCACAUCUUCAUAAAAUGUGUUCGCGACAGGUCCCAGGUUCGAGCCCUGGUGUGGGCA